UUGCGUCCCGGGGGGGGGCUGUGGAGAGGGCAAAAACACCCCCCCCCCCCCCCCCCCCCCCACACACGCCGGUGCGUCCCGGGGAGUGGGUGCUGUGGAGGGGGCGGCAGCCUCCCGGCUGUGUCCCCAACCGGUGUGUGCCGGGGGGGUGGGUGCUGUGGAGGGGGCACCCCUCUCCCCGUUCCCCCCCCCCCCCUCCCCACACAGCGGUGGGCCCUUGGGUCUGCGUGCUCUGAGGGGUGCACCCGCCGCCCCUGGGGUCUUGCUCGGGGUUUAGCUUGCCCCCAAAAAUAGCCCUUUCCUUCAGCUCUGCCCGCUGCGCCUUGUCCCUGACCUUGCUCGCCUUGUCCCUGACCUUGCCCCCCGAGCUGUGAACGUCUGUGCGAGUUUCUGGUUGUUGAUAUGGGCAGCGCUCCCCUGUGUUAUGUUUAGCCAAUGUACUGUGUCGUGCAGGUCUCGCAGAGUACUUUUUGUGUGAAGAUGCUCUAAGUAGCAUACAUCUCCGGAGAUCAGUGUCUGCACGUAUGUUUGCAAUAAAAAUAUAGAAACAAAAAGUGAA